rnacentral:misc_RNA from 1 species
AAAAGAUUGAAGCUGCUAAGAGUGCUAGUGAUCUGGUCUGGCACAUGCUAAUGCUUCUACAGUAUCUCACAUCACCAAAGGAACUUCGUUGUUUUACAUGGAUAUGUUUUCUUUUGUUGAUAGGGGCUUGUGAAGGAAUUUUGUUUAUUUUGUUGUGUAAUACUGUUUGCUUUGCCUUGAUAUUUGCUUGUGGUCAUGUCUAAUUUUG